UAGGGAAUCUUCCACAAUGGACGCAAGUCUGAUGGAGCAACGCCGCGUGAGUGAAGAAGGUUUUCGGACCGUAAAGCUCUGUUGUUGGUGAAGAAGGAUAGAGGUAGUAACUGGCCUUUAUUUGACGGUAAUCAACCAGAAAGUCACGGCUAACUACGUGCCAGCAGCCGCGGUAAUACGUGGGUGGCAAGCGUUGUCCGGAUUUAUUGGGCGUAAAGCGAGCGCAGGCGGAAGAAUAAGUCUGAUGUGAAAGCCCUCGGCUUAACCGAGGAAUUGCAUCGGAAACUGUUUUCUUGAGUGCAGAAGAGGAGAGUAGAACUCCAUGUGUAGCGGUGGAAUGCGUAGAUAUAUGGAAGAAUACCAGUGGCGAAGGCGGCUCUCUGGUCUGCAACUGACGCUGAGGCUCGAAAGCAUGGGUAGCGAACAGGAUUAGAUACCCUGGUAGUCCAUGCCGUAAAACGAUGAGUGCUAAGUGUUGGGAGGCUUCCGCCUCUCAGUGCUGCAGCUAACGCAUUAAGCACUCCGCCUGGGGGAGUACGACCGCAAGGUUGAAAC
rnacentral:rRNA from 1 species